UUCUAGACUACCACCCAAAGGAAAUCCAAUUAACAAAGAAGGUUUCAUAUUUUCAUAUUCUAACUCAAGCGUUGAUGCAAAAGAUGUGGGUAUAAAAGAGUGUGUAGCUCCACAAUCAACUAACACUCUAGCCCAAGAGUUGAAUACCAAAAACAUAGCUUCUAUUGUUUUAGGCUUAGUUUGAUCUAUCACAUUUCCCACAACGUAUACUCUUCCUUGUGUGAAUUGUCCAGAUUUUUUUCCAACUGCAGGGACCCUUGGUCUAAUUUGAGAAUAUUGUCCUCCUGG
rnacentral:lncRNA from 1 species